GAUGAACGCUGGCGGCUUGCCUAAUACAUGCAAGUCGAGCGAACAGACGAGGAGCUUGCUCCUCUGACGUUAGCGGCUUACGGUUGAGUAACACUUUGAUAACCUACCUAUAAGACUGGGAUAACUUCGGGAAACCGGAGCUUAUACCGGAUAAUAUAUUGAACCGCAUGGUUCAAUAGUGAAAGACGGUUUUGCUGUCACUUAUAGAUGUAUCCGCGCCGCAUUAGCUAUUUGGUAAGGUAACGGCUUACCAAGGCAACGAUGCGUAGCCGACCUGAGAGGGUGAUCGGCCACACUGGAACUGAGACACGGUCCAGACUCCUACGGGAGGCAGCAGUAGGGAAUCUUCCGCAAUGGGCGAAAGCCGGACGGAGCAACGCCGCGUGAGUGAUGAAGGUCUUCGGAUCGUAAAACUCUGUUAUUAGGGAAGAACAAAUGUGUAAGUAACUAUGCAAGUAUUGACGGUACCUAAUCAGAAAGCCACGGCUAACUACGUG
rnacentral:rRNA from 1 species